rnacentral:rRNA from 1 species
UACGGAGGGUGCAAACGUUGCUCGGAAUCAUUGGGCGUAAAGCGCACGUAGGCGGUUCUGUAAGUCGGGAGUGAAAGCCCCAGGCUUAACCUGGGAAGUGCUUUCGAAACUGCAGAGCUUGAGUACUGGAGGGGGCGGCGGAAUUCCCGGUGUAGAGGUGAAAUUCGUAGAUAUCGGGAGGAACACCAGUGGCGAAGGCGGCCGCCUGGACAGAUACUGACGCUGAGGUGCGAAAGCGUGGGGAGCAAAC